CGAUUUAUCAUGAAUUAAAUAUAUAAAUAUAUGUGAUUCAUAUAUUUACUAGGUGAAUCUUAUCAUAUGUCUUAUAUCUUGAGUUUGUGGUAGGUUGAGUUUAGAUAAGAAUAAAUAAAUUACGUCAAUAAUGAAUUUGUGGAGUGGACUGACUGCCCUCUAGACUUUAUAUAUUUUAUGCUAGUGUAUUAUCUACUUCCGUUGCUGCAACUUUCUCUAUUGUAUAUGUAAACUUGGUUUUUAAGUGAGAAUUGAUGGGGAUAAUGGAGAAGUUCUCCCAUGUAU
rnacentral:misc_RNA from 1 species